AUUGAACGCUGGCGGCAGGCCUAACACAUGCAAGUCGAACGGUAACAGGAAGAAGCUUGCUUCUUUGCUGACGAGUGGCGGACGGGUGAGUAAUGUCUGGGAAACUGCCUGAUGGAGGGGGAUAACUACUGGAAACGGUAGCUAAUACCGCAUAACGUCGCAAGACCAAAGAGGGGGACCUUCGGGUCUCUUGCCAUCGGAUGUGCCCAGAUGGGAUUAGCUAGUAGGUGGGGUAACGGCUCACCUAGGCGACGAUCCCUAGCUGGUCUGAGAGGAUGACCAGCCACACUGGAACUGAGACACGGUCCAGACUCCUACGGGAGGCAGCAGUGGGGAAUAGUGCACAAUGGGCGCAAGCCUGAUGCAGCCAUGCCGCGUGUAUGAAGAAGGCCUUCGGGUUGUAAAGUACUUUCAGCGGGGAGGAAGGGAGUAAAGUUAAUACCUUUGCUCAUUGACGUUACCCGCAGAAGAAGCACCGGCUAACUCCGUG
rnacentral:rRNA from 1 species